rnacentral:Y_RNA from 1 species
GGCUGAUCCAAUGGUAGUGGGUUAUCAGAAUUUAUUAACAAUAGUGUUACUAAAGUUGGCAUACAACCCCCCACUGCUAAAUUUGACCGCUUUAA